UCAAGUUACAAAGGGCGCAGGGCGGAUGCCUUGGCACCAGGAGCCGAAGAAGGACGUGAUAAGCUGCGAAAAGCUGCGGGGAGGAGCAAAUAUCCAUUGAUCCGCAGGUAUCCGAAUGGGGAAACCCGGCAGAAAGAACUUCUGUCACCGUAUGAUGAAUCCAUAGUCAUACGGAGGGAACCCGGCGAACUGAAACAUCUAAGUAGCCGGAGGAAGAGGAAGAAACAUCGAAUCCCUAAGUAGUGGCGAGCGAAAGGGGACGAAGCCCAAACCAAGGAUUUAUCCUUGGGGUUGAGGACCACAUACGAAGAAGCAGUAGGUAGCAGAACGGUUUUGGGAAAGCCGGCCAUAGAGAGUGAAAGCCUCGUAUGCGAAACAGACUGUGAUUCAGUGGUAUCCGGAGUACUACGGGACACGAGAAACCCCGUAGGAAGCAGGGGGGACCACCCCCCAAGGCGAAAUACUACCUGGUGACCGAUAGAGUAUAGUACCGUGAGGGAAAGGUGAAAAGAACCCCGGGAGGGGAGUGAAAGAGAACCUGAAACCCUGUGUCUACAAGCUGCGGAAGAGCGACUAACGCUCGACCGUGUACUUUUUGUAGAACGGUCCGGCGAGUUGCCGUUGCUGGCAGGUUAAGUACUUAAGGUACGGAGCCGAAGGGAAACCAAGUCUUAAUAGGGCGGUAAGUCAGUAACGGCAGACCCGAAACCGGGUGACCUACCCAUGGCCAGGAUGAAGUCUGCGUAAAAGUGGAUGGAGGUCCGAACACACGUCUGUUGAAAAAGGCGGUGAUGAGCUGUGGGUAGCGGAGAAAUUCCAAUCGAACUCGGAGAUAGCUGGUUCUCCCCGAAAUAGCUUUAGGGCUAGCCUCGGUAUAGUCUAAUGGAGGUAGAGCACUGAAUCGCUGCGGGGGCGUCAAAGUCUACCAAUGCGUAUCAAACUCCGAAUGCCAUAUAGAUGUUUACCGGGAGUCAGACUGUAUGAGAUAAGUCGGACAGUCAAAAGGGAAACAGCCCAGACCAUCUGCUAAGGUCCCAAAGUGUAUGUUAAGUGGUAAAGGAUGUGGGGUUUCGAAGACAACUAGGAUGUUGGCUCAGAAGCAGCCAUUCAUUCAAAGAGUGCGUAAUAGCUCACUAGUCGAGAGGUCCUGCGCCGAAAAUGUCCGGGGCUGAAACAUAACACCGAAGCAAUGGAAUAUACCGUAAGGUAUGUUGGUAGGGGAGCAUUGAUAACACGAAGAAGCGGUACCGUAAGGAGCCGUGGAGAGUUAUCAAGAGAGAAUGCCGGAAUGAGUAGCGAGAUGAAGGUGAGAAUCCUUCAGGCCGUAUAUCCAAGGUUUCCAGGGUAAAGCUGAUCUUCCCUGGGGAAGUCGGGACCUAAGCUCAGGCUGAGAAGCGUAGGCGAUGGACAACUGGUUGAUAUUCCAGUACCUCUGGCUAUCAGAAAUGUGGGGACACGGAGAUUCAGGGAGUGCCUGUAAAGGAUUCAGGUGCAAGCAUGGUUUAUGCCGGGCAGGCAAAUCCGUCCGGGUAAGUGAACUGUGUGAUGCGGACCGAAAUAUAAGUAGGGAAGCUCCUGGGAGAGCCGUCGAGAAAAGCCGCUAUUGUGUAGUCAGAGCCCGUACCGUAAACCGACACAGGUGGAUGGGGAGAGUAUCCCAAGGCCGGCGGGAGAAGCAUUGUUAAGGAACUCGGCAAAAUGGCCCCGUAAGUUCGCGAUAAGGGGUGCCUGUAGAGAUACAGGCCGCAGAGAAUAGGCUCAAGCAACUGUUUAGCAAAAACACAGGUCUAUGCGAAACCGUAAGGUGAUGUAUAUGGGCUGACGCCUGCCCGGUGCUGGAAGGUUACGGGGAGUGCUUAGGAGUAAUCCGAAGGUACGAACUUAAGCCCCAGUAAACGGCGGCCGUAACUAUAACGGUCCUAAGGUAGCGAAAUUCCUUGUCGGGU
rnacentral:rRNA from 1 species